GCUACGGGUGGCUGCAGUGGGGAAUCUUGCGCAAUGGGCGAAAGCCUGACGCAGCAACGCCGCGUGCGGGAUGAAGGCUCUCGGGUUGUAAACCGCUUUCAGCAGGAACGAAAAUGACGGUACUUGCAGAAGAAGGUGCGGCCAACUAUGUGCCAGCAGCCGCGGUGAUACAUAGGCACCAAGCGUUGUCCGGAGUUAUUGGGCGUAAAGAGCUCGUAGGCGGUUCGGUAAGUCGGGUGUGAAAACUUUGGGCUCAACCCACAGCCUGCAUCCGAUACUGCUGUGACUAGAGUUCGGUAGGGGAGCGGGGAAUUCCUAGUGUAGCGGUGAAAUGCGCAGAUAUUAGGAGGAACACCGGUGGCGAAGGCGCCGCUCUGGGCCGAUACUGACGCUGAGGAGCGAAAGCGUGGGUAGCAAACAGGAUUAGAUACCCCAGUAGUC
rnacentral:rRNA from 1 species